UGGCUCAGACAGUAAAGCGUCUGCCUGCAAUGCAGGAGACCCAGGUUCGAUCCCUGG
rnacentral:tRNA from 1 species